AUUGAACGCUGGCGGCAGGCCUAACACAUGCAAGUCGAACGAGUGGCGGACGGGUGAGUAAUGUCUGGGAAACUGCCUGAUGGAGGGGGAUAACUACUGGAAACGGUAGCUAAUACCGCAUACCAUCAGAUGUGCCCAGAUGGGAUUAGCUAGUAGGGGGGGUAACGGCUCACCUAGGCGACGAUCCCUACCUGGUCUGAGAGGGUGACCAGCCACACUGGAACUGAGACACGGUCCAGACUCCUACGGGAGGCAGCAGUGGGGAAUAUUGCACAAUGGGCGCAAGCCUGAUGCAGCCAUGCCGCGUGUGUGAAGAAGGCCUUCGGAUUGUAAAGCACUUUCAGCGGGGAGGCGUUACCCGAAGAAGAAGCACCGGCUAACUCCGUGCCAGCAGCCGCGGUAAUUC
rnacentral:rRNA from 1 species